rnacentral:rRNA from 1 species
AUUGAACGCUGGCGGCACGCCUAACACAUGCAAGUCGAACGCAGUAGCAAUACUGAGUGGCAAACGGGUGAGUAUAAUGUGGGAAUCUGCCUUUUGGUUUGGAAUAACACGGGGAAACUUGUGCUAAUACCGAAUAAGCCCUUACGGGGAAAGUUUUAACGCCGAAAGAUGAGCCUGCACUUGAUUAGCUAGUUGGUAAGGUAAAGGCUUACCAAGGCAACGAUCAAUAGCUGUUCUUAGAGGAAGACCAGCCACAUUGGGACUGAGACACGGCCCAAACUCCUACGGGAGGCAGCAGUGGGGAAUAUUGGACAAUGGGGGCAACCCUGAUCCAGCAAUGCAGCGUGAGUGACGAAGGCCUUAGGGUUGUAAAGCUCUUUCAUCGGUGAGGAUAAUGACAGUAGCCGAAGAAGAAGGUCCGGCUAACUUCGGGCCAGCAGCCGCGGUAAUACGAAGGGACCUAGCGUAGUUCGGAAUUACUGGGCUUAAAGAGUUCGUAGGUGGUUGAAAAAGUUGGUGGUGAAAUCCCAGAGCUUAACUCUGGAACUGCCAUCAAAACUUUUCAGCUAGAGUUUGAUAGAGGAAAGCAGAAUUUCUAGUGUAGAGGUGAAAUUCGUAGAUAUUAGAAAGAAUACCAAUUGCGAAGGCAGCUUUCUGGAUCAUUACUGACACUGAGGAACGAAAGCAUGGGUAGCGAAGAGGAUUAGAUACCCUCGUAGUCCAUGCCGUAAACGAUGUGUGUUAGACGUUGGAAAUUUAUUUUCAGUGUCGCAGCGAAAGCGAUAAACACACCGCCUGGGGAGUACGACCGCAAGGUUA